UAGGGAAUCUUCCGCAAUGGGCGAAAGCCUGACGGAGCAACGCCGCGUGAGUGAUGAAGGUCUUAGGAUCGUAAAACUCUGUUAUUAGGGAAGAACAAACGUGUAAGUAACUGUGCACGUCUUGACGGUACCUAAUCAGAAAGCCACGGCUAACUACGUGCCAGCAGCCGCGGUAAUACGUAGGUGGCAAGCGUUAUCCGGAAUUAUUGGGCGUAAAGCGCGCGUAGGCGGUUUUGUAAGUCUGAUGUGAAAGCCCACGGCUCAACCGUGGAGGGUCAUUGGAAACUGGAAAACUUGAGUGCAGAAGAGGAAAGUGGAAUUCCAUGUGUAGCGGUGAAAUGCGCAGAGAUAUGGAGGAACACCAGUGGCGAAGGCGACUUUCUGGUCUGUAACUGACGCUGAUGUGCGAAAGCGUGGGGAUCAAACA
rnacentral:rRNA from 1 species